CCGCCAUUAGCUCAUCAGGAAAGAGCGCCAUCCUUCGAAGCUGGUUGCGCGGGGUUCGAGUCCCCGAUGGCGGUCCA
rnacentral:tRNA from 1 species